GGUCCCAUCGUCUAGUGGCCAAGGACGCUGGCCUCUCACGCCGGAAACACGAGUUCGAACCUCGUUGGGACCACCA
rnacentral:tRNA from 1 species